GACGAACGCUGGCGGCGUGCUUAACACAUGCAAGUCGUACGGUAAGGCCCUUUCGGGGGUGCACGAGUGGCGAACGGGUGAGUAACACGUGAGUAACCUGCCCACAACUUUGGGAUAACGCUAGGAAACUGGUGCUAAUACUGGAUAUGUGCUCCUGCUGCAUGGUGGGGGUUGGAAAGCUCCGGCGGUUGUGGAUGGACUCGCGGCCUAUCAGCUUGUUGGUGGGGUAGUGGCCUACCAAGGCGGCGACGGGUAGCCGGCCUGAGAGGGUGACCGGCCACAUUGGGACUGAGAUACGGCCCAGACUCCUACGGGAGGCAGCAGUGGGGAAUAUUGCACAAUGGGCGCAAGCCUGAUGCAGCAACGCCGCGUGCGGGAUGACGGCCUUCGGGUUGUAAACCGCUUUCAGCAGGGACGAAGCUUUUUGUGACGGUACCUGCAGAAGAAGCACCGGCUAACUACGUG
rnacentral:rRNA from 1 species